rnacentral:lncRNA from 1 species
AGGAUCAGAGACCUCUCAGCUGCGCAGCUCCCGGCACCGAGGGACGGAGCGAGGGACGGAGGGACCGAGGGACGGAGGGAGGGCCCCGAAGCGGCAGCCAUCAUCCCCGGGCAAGUGGCGGCGCCUCCCCCGCCGGGUCCCGGGGGCGCGGCGCUCGCGGCAGGUGGCGCGGCCUCCCGGCGCCCAGGCCCCGGGGCGGGCGGCGAUGGGCUCGGCGCCCCCGGCCCCCGCGCCCCGGCCCCCGCGCAGGUGAGGCUCCGGCCCAGGCCGACCCGGGCGGCGGCCGCGGGGGGGCGGGGGGGUCCCGCGGGCGCGCCCCCCGCGCCGAGCCCCCCGGGACCCCCCACCCCCGGCGCCCGGGCCCGCGGGCGGCGCGCUCUGCGGCUGCGAAAACCCGGCGCGGCGGCUCGGAGCGCGCUCGCCAGUGCCGGGCCGGCCGCCGAGUGGGCAUGCUCAGUGCGGCCCCGCGCCGGCCGCCAACUCCGAGCCUCGCGCGCCCGGGCCGUGGGGGCGAGGACGCCGGCGGCGGCGAGCCGGCGUCGCCCGCCGCCCCCAGCCAGCCGCAAACUUGGCGGGGUCCCCGGAGCGCGGGCCCAGGCCUCCCCGACAGGAUCCCCGCGCCCCCGCCCCGGAUCAUGGAGGCUGCGGCCGCCCGGGUGCCGCCGCCGCCGCCGGCCCCUGCGCGCUAGCGGGGACCAACAGGUAAAGCGUCGGGGGGCGGCGGCGCCCAGGGGUCCGCGGGCUCCCGCCGCCGUCGGCGCGCACGGCCCUCCCCGCGCUCCCCCGGCCCCGGGCGGCCCCGCGCCUCCGCGAGCUCGGCCCCCUGCAGCCCCGCCGCGACCGCCCGCAGCGCGCUCGCCGCCUGCCCGGAGCCGCCGCCGCCGCCGCCGCCGGGGGGGGGGGGGGACCGGAGCCCCGGAGCCUCGGAGCCUCGGAGCCUCGGAGCCUCGGAGCCUCGGAGCCCCGGAGCGCCGCGGGAGUCCGGCAGGCGUCCAGCCCCUGCGCGCCCGCAUCCCCGCGGGCCUCGCUCCCUGCGCCCCGGCCCGGCCCGCGCCCAGGUGCGGGGGCUGCGGGGAGGGGUCCCCGCCGAGCGAGAGCGGCGGGGGCGCCCUGCCCGGGGCCCGAGGCCCCCCUCACCUGCCGGCAGCGCUGGGGCCGCCCGCCUGGGCGCCCAGAAAAGUUUUUUUUCCGCGCCCCCCCCCCCGCUGCCCGUGCCCCUCCCCCACCCCCGUGUCCGGCUGGGGUGGGUUUGGGUCCAUUGGUGCAAAAAGUCACACGUCCCCAGCAGCUGCUCCUCCCCCCGCCCCCCCCCCCCCCCCCCGGGGACGGGAGGAGCGGCGCGUCCCGGGCCCGAAGCGCCGCCGGUGCCCGCGGGAGGCUGCGUGCGCGCCGGGCAGAGGCUGCAGCCAC